rnacentral:lncRNA from 1 species
GUUUACCAAAACAGUCCAACCAUACCUAAUCACAGAUUAUUCCUUCAAGAGAAACUAUACUUAUUUGUUGUUACAUUUAGGUCAAUGUUUAAUAGGUACUUUUCCACUCAGCAUGUUAUAUUGUGCUUUUUAUAUAAAAAUAACAGUGUCACUGGUUAAUCUGCAAAAUGUGCUAUUUACUAAAGAAGAAUUUAAAGUGAUUUUCAAAUUUAAAGCCCUAACCCCCCUCUCCCCCUCCAAAAAAAAAUUUGUAUUUCAUAAAUAUAGAGUCUUUACUAAAAUGGCGGCAGCACCCCCGAGGGACAGGUCCAAGUAAAAAAAUCUCACCUUUACCACCCCCAGCCACCAGAACCCCAGCGGCAAUGUUACCGUCAUGGAUCUUUGUGAAUUCUGCAAAGUCCCGAGACGGUGACAGUGCCGCUUUAAGGCCACAAUAGCUGAAUGGAAAGCAUGGCUGAUUUAGAGAAAUUUGUAAUUUUUGAAAAAUGUUUUUCAUUUUUGGCUAUUUUGACCUUAAAUUCCUAAUUCACCUUGAAUUCUUACUUUACUGACUAACCCGUAUAGUUUUUAUGAGCAGAGCACACGUAUUGACUCCUGUACCUUUGAAAAGGUGCAUGUGACCCUUUGAAUCUAUAUUCUAGCACACAAACUACUUUUUUAUGAUCAAAAAUUGAUCCAGCACUCUUGCUAGAAAUAAGAAUUUGACAAUAUUUUGCAUUUGAUUCUGUGUUCAGGGUGACACCAUUGUCUUGUGAUUCUAUGAUGUUCUGGGGUUCUCACACAUGCCACAUGGGCGGUUCCACCCUCAGACAUUCCUUUAGUAGUGUCACAGGUGGUUAUUAUGCAGCCAGGUGGAAUUGGAAUUGUAAACACAGCCGUAAGCACCAUGGUAAAAUUAGAUUUCACAAUGUAUGGAUGAGGCUAUUAUGAACAUACAGGACCGGUUUAGGGGGAAAAAAGUGCUCUAUGUUUUGCUUUCUAUCCUAACCUGACCAACAUAUCAACAGGGGUUACCAUAAUACUGCUAAUGUAAAAUAAUGUUGUUUUAUUUCAGAAGUAGAAUUAACUAAAUUGAACUUUAGACAUUUUAGGUGGGAAGGAAACAUCAAUUUAUUCAAUAGGAGAAAACGCAACUCACCGUUUAAGAACCAUUUUGUUACUAUUAACCUGACAGUUCAAUCUGUGCCAUUUCAACGUUAUAAGGAAUCCAUAUAUUCUGUUAUCACUUGCUUCUGCUAUUUAUGGUGAUUAUAUAUCAUUUGUAUUUAGAUGCUUUCCUGAGGAAGUAAUACCAUGCCAUUUUCCUCAUGGAGGUCAUUAACUGUAGGCAUCUAUUCAGGACUUUUUCUUUAAAUGCUUGAUAAUAGCAUUUUUAUUUAUUUGCAGAGGGAGUUCGUGAAAGAUGUAUCCUCUUACUCCUGAGUGUUCAUCAAAUCAUUAAGCAGCCAAGAAACUGGAAAUUGGGGCUACUAGGGGCACCUGAGAAGGCUGUGCCAAUUGGCACACAAUAUAUAAUUCUGGGCAUGGCUGUAUUGCACUAUUAAAAACUUUAGAGCCCUUCAGGACACAUUUUUUUAAAUUGUUUUAUAAGUGUUUCAAAUUAAUAAUGUAGCCAUAAUCAUAAGCAAUGAGCAUGUCUGUUUCUGCAUAUGAACUGAAUAAUUCUAACCUGGAACACAGAGCAUUCGAUAAGCAGUUUUCAUUACUUCAAAUAAACAACAUGAGGAGUAAAUGAUAAGAAAGCAAAUACACUACACAAACACUUAAAAUGGUACAAAAAUGUAUAAAAAUAGUAAAACAUAAAACUACUCUACUGUACACUGCAAUAGGGUUAAAGGCACAAAACAACAGUUUCCCUUAAACAAAACAAAAAUGGUCUCCAUCCAAUACAAACUUUAGACACAUACAUAUCCAGCUACUAUCAGUUGAUCACAUGGUUUGUUUUUUUCCAGUAAAUAGUCAUCUGAAGCA